GCUAGCACAAAUGCUUGAGACACGACAAGCUUUUAUACCAGAGCAAAUAAAUGAAGCAUGCUAUGUUGAUAUGAGGCUAACAAAGAUGUUUUUGAGAGUCUGAGAAAAAAACCAAAAGUAGAAUACGACGGGCAACGGUUCUCUUACAAGCAUGUUCUCAUUUUCGUCUACAUUAUUUUAAUGGCAAGAUGGUUCUACCUACGUGGUUUUGUUACCACUUCUGGAAGGAGAUUUCAGGGCUGCUCUUCAGGGGAAUGAAAUUGAGAUUUGUGUUGAAAGUGGAUGUCCUGAUGAUGUGGAGCAAUUUGAUGGGACUCAUUUGGUGUUUAUUGGGGCUGGAUCAGAUCCUUAUGAAGUUAUAACAAAUGUUUUCUAGAGAUGCGUUGUGGAACACCGAUGGGCAAGGAGAAUGCAUUUGCAGCAUUGCUCGAGUUAUGCCGGAGUGGAGGUUCAGCUGCAACUGAAAGGGUGGUUAAGGCACCACCUAUUGCCGGAUUACUUCAAACCCAACUAUUUACCGGGACAAAGCGAGCUAGACGUAAAGCCGCUUCACUUGCUAGAGUGUUUCAGAGAUGUGAAAAUGCAUCUCUACAUUAUGGUGGAUUAGGUGUAGGCUAUGCAUUGGCUAGCAAUUCAGCUCAAACUAGGGAUUCAAGCUUUGCUGCAGAGGGAUGUUUCAGUACCAAUGUCCAUCUCUGUACCUGUAAUAUAGUGAUAUAAUACUUUUCCUGUAUUUGUAAUUGUUACGUUCACAAUUUUUAUUGGAAGUCUUUACAUAUUCUUUCAUUGAAACUUUAAAAAGUCAUAAAAAAAUGUCACAAAUACCAUAUGUAUUCUCUUCCAAGAGAUACAUGAAUGUUGUUGACAAGUUAGGUUCAUCACUUGUGUAACGUUGAGUUAUAUCAAAGACAGAAAAGAGAAUGCUCUACAAAAGAGUUUUAGACCAUUUCUUGGUCAUAUUUGGUUUCA